AUGGGCAAUAAGCCACGGCGCGCUGGCCAAGCCACUACCGGUGCUAGCGACGCGCUCACCCCCUGGUUCUUCGCCAACAUUGUUUACAGGGCGACCCAUGAAGGGGAAGAAAUUGCGGUGAAGAAGCUUCGUCAACUGCAGGGACUCGAUGAUAAGCAAUUCGACAACGAGUUCUGUAACCUUCGUAACAUACGCCACAAAAAUGUUGUGCGGCUAAUUGGCUACUGCCACCAGUCUCGCAAGAAAUACAUGGAGCACAAGGGGGAGCUUAUCUUCGCUAAAGAGAUGGAGCGAGUGCUCUGCUUCGAAUAUAUGCACGGCGGAAGCCUCGAUAAACACAUUCAAGAUGAAUCUUGCGGGCUUGAGUGGCCCACGUGUUUCAAGAUUAUCAAAGGGACUUGUGAGGGACUAGAUCACCUUCACACCUCACAGGGAAAACCUAUUUUCCAUCUGGACUUGAAGCCUGGUAAUAUUUUGCUGGAUGAAGGUAUGACGCCCAAAAUUGGAGAUCUUGGUUUGUCAAGACUCGUUGCUUCAACAAAAACACGACAAACAGAGAUGCGCGACGGAACACUCGGGUUCAUGCCACCAGAGUAUGUUGACAGUGGCUUCAUAUCAAAGAAGUUUGACGUGUUCAGUUUGGGGGUCAUAAUUAUAAAAAUGUUGGCCGGGGAUAAGAGCUACUUCCGUUGCUCUGAAAUGCCCUCCGAACAGUUUAUUGAGCUUGUAAGGGAAAUCUGGAGGAAAAAGUUUCAGGCAAAGCCUGGAUAA
rnacentral:rRNA from 1 species